rnacentral:lncRNA from 1 species
UUCCCUCUGUCGUUAUUAAAAUUUAUAUCUAACAUCCUGGAAGCAAAUUUAUUACUUCGCUUGCCAGAAGUAGCUCCCCCUUUCCUCUUCCUCUUCUUCCUCUCAGGUUUGACAAGAGGUGAAGCACCAGGUUCAGCACUAGUUCCAUUUAAAUCAGGUAUGCCUGCAGCAGGCAUAAUUUCUGGUUGCCCAGAUAGUGAUUUUGCUUUCCUUCUCCUCCUUUUCUUCUCAGGUUUACCUUCAGCUAAGAGCGGGGCAGCUCCUGGGGGAUCUUUGACCAACAAUACUGGUACAACAGAAUUUCCAUUAUUAUGUUUAGGAAUAGAAUUAAUUGCGUAGGGACCUUUCACCCGCAAAUCUGCCACCAAUGAGCCAGGUUGUGCACUGCCUCCAUUCAGAUCUUUUAAGCUGGUAGUAACUUUAGUCUCCGAGCUCCCUGAAGUAGCACCUCCUUUCCUCCUUCUCUUCUUUGUCUCAGAGCCAACAUGACCAACAGCCUGGGAAUUUUCUGCCAUUACCAGCGGUGUAGAACCAUUACCAUUCAAAUCUGGUAUGCUAGUAGUUUGUUUAGUUUGCAGAUUCAAUGGAGUUACACCUUCCUUCUUUCUAUCCUUCCGUGCAGAUCGCCCACCGUCAGGUGUAUGAGUUCCCAUGCUUUGGAAAUCUUUGACUGACAAGCUACUUGUAUCAAUGUUUAUAUUCACGUCUGAUAGGCCAGAAAGAGAUUUAACCUUCGAUCUAACUG